rnacentral:SRP_RNA from 2 species
GUCGAGCUAAGUCACAAGAGCUUGUAACCCAAGUGGGGGCAUGAAGGUGAUGGAACAACUUUGUGGUUCUCGGGUUGGAGUUGUGGAUGCUAAAAACUGGCUUACCCAUUCCAAGUUGAGAGUAGGGUGAUGGGACAUGUGUGAAGGAAUAAGUCUCAACUCUCUUAGACAAGAGGGAACUAUGUGAGGCUUGUUUCACAAAGCAACAAUUACCUCUAUCUCUCAAUAGUGGAGGGAUAACAAGUUAUCAACACCACCCUCUAAAGAAUAACCUGGACUGCCACACUUCCUUGGACUAUCACCUUU